CCCCGAGCGGGCCCGCGGGCGCGGCCGGGCGCGGAGGCGGCUGCAGCAGUACAGCAAGAACGUUGGCAAAGCUCUGCAGAAAGGAUGUCGCUACUUAAUGAUUGGUCUACAAGGAUUAGCAAACGCCUAUACAGCUCCAUUUGGAGUGGCAACGUCAGUGUCCUCACUGGUCCGUUAGAGUGGCUUCCUUGUCUCCAGAAGAAGGAUAAAAUGAACCUUCUUAGAGGAGUAACUUGAUUUGUUCCUUCCUUGCAUCAGAUCAACUGCUGAAACCUACAUCUGAGAAAUCUUUUCAAUGCAAUAAAAACAAUAAUGUGACAGAGUAUUCUAAUGGAUCGAUUGCACUUCUACAGUGCCUUUCAUGCAAUCAUCUCAGGCAGUUCUCAGCCAUUAAAAUCAAAUUAACUCAAAGAAGGUGAAAGGAUGAGGAAAUAGCUUCAAAUGAAUUGAGCCAAAGUUCAUAAUUAUAGUUUAAUUAAUUCAACUACAUGUGCAGAGAAGCCAAAGAGAAGGAAAAGCCAAAGAGAAGGAAAAGCAAGUAGAAGAUGGAGGGAGGUAUGUGUAGACAUGCAGUGAGAAGACAGGAGAGGAUCAGAUAGCGAUUUGGUGCUGGCUGAAAGAAGGAGAAAUGAAGGGAAAUAGAGGUAACAGAGAUGUCAAGAAAAGGUGGCGUUUGAUUUGCUUAUUCCUUCUUCAUAUUUUUCUUUGGUGAUGGCCAAAUAAUCAGUGCAUUGUUUUUAAAUAAAUGCUUUUUGUAUACCAUAUGUAGAGCCAGUCUCAAAAAAUCAUUAGAUUUUAAGAAAAUAGUA